rnacentral:rRNA from 1 species
UACGAAGGGGGCUAGCGUUGCUCGGAAUCACUGGGCUUAAAGCGUGUGUAGGCGGGCCCGUAAGUACCUUGUGAAAUCCCAUGGCUCAACCAUGGAACUGCUUGGUAUACUGCGGAUCUUGAGCCACCUAGGGGCAAGUGGAACAAACGGUGGAGCGGUGAAAUGCGUAGAUAUCGUUUGGAACGCCAAUGGUGAAAACAACUUGCUGGGGGUGUGCUGACGCUGAGACACGAAAGCCAGGGGAGCAAACGGG